UACAUGAGCAAAAUCUCACCUUUAUUAGAAGAGACGCAUCUAUUAGAUAAAAAGCCAAUGCAUGCUUUUACAGUAUGGAAAUUGGUGAUUUAUAAUAACUUAGCAAAUCGCAAAGUGAAAACAGGCGAUAAAUCAUUCAAGUUUCUGACCUAUCAGCUUUCGACGGUAUGGUAUUGGCUUACCGUGGCAGUGACGGUUAACGGGGGAUUAGGGUUCGAUUCCGGAGAGGGAGCCUGAGAAACGGCUACCACAUCUAAGGAAGGCAGCAGGCGCGCAAAUUACCCAAUUCUAACAGUUUGAGAGAGGUAGUAACAAGAAAUAACAAUACAAGGCAAUUAAAAUGUUUUGUAAUUGGAAUGAUAGAAAUUUAAACCCUUUUUAAAGUAUCAAUUGGAGGGCAAGUCUGGUGCCAGCAGCCGCGGUAAUUCCAGCUCCAAUAGCGUAUAUUAAAAUUGUUGCAGUUAAAAAGCUCGUAGUUGAAGUUCUGUUAAAAGUAACCGGUCUGCUUUUAAUAAAAGUGGUAUCUUGGUGUGUAUUUAGCAAUGAUGUCCUUUGAAGUGUUUUUUACUUUAUUGUAAUAAAGCAUAUUCAGGACUUUUACUUUGAGAAAAUUAGAGUGUUUCUAGCAGGGCCGACGCUUUGAAUACUGCAGCCAUGGAAUAAUAAAGAUAGGGAUUUUAGUUUCUAACCAUUAUUGGUCAGG
rnacentral:rRNA from 1 species